rnacentral:misc_RNA from 1 species
AACGCACCUUGCGCUCCCUGGUAUUCCGGGGAGCACGCCUGUUCGAGUGUCACGAAAUUUGUCAAGCUUGGAUGGCUUUUUUGUCUAUCCUUAGCCCUUGGUUGUUGGGCUUUGCCGUGUCCUUCAUUGGGAACGGCUGGCCUUAAAAGCAUUAGCUGAUCCUUGUGUGGCACUGGUUCUACUCAGCGUGAUAAUAGUCUGAUCGCUGAGGACAUCUUUUGGGAUGGCCAGUUCUCAUUUGGGUUGCUUCUAAACUUGGUUUUGCAGAUUCUUCAAUCUGUGUUCCACUUUUCAGCUUUGACCUCGAAUCAGGUGGGACUACCCGCUGAACUUAA